CCUACGGGAGGCAGCAGUGGGGAAUAUUGCACAAUGGGGGAAACCCUGAUGCAGCGACGCCGCGUGAGUGAAGAAGUAAUUCGUUAUGUAAAGCUCUAUCAGCAGGGAAGAAAAUGACGGUACCUGAGUAAGAAGCCCCGGCUAACUACGUGCCAGAAGCCGCGGUAAUACGUAGGGGGCAAGCGUUAUCCGGAUUUACUGGGUGUAAAGGGAGCGUAGACGGCAGUGCAAGUCUGGAGUGAAAGGCGGGGGCUCAACCCCCGGACUGCUCUGGAAACUGUACGGCUGGAGUGCAGGAGAGGUGAGUGGAAUUCCUAGUGUAGCGGUGGAAUGCGUAGAUAUUAGGAGGAACACCAGUGGCGAAGGCGGCUUACUGGACUGUAACUGACGUUGAGGCUCGAAAGCGUGGGGAGCAAACAGGAUUAGAUACCCCUGUAGUC
rnacentral:rRNA from 1 species